GCUGCUCAGCGGCCUGUUACCAGCCAAAGAGAGGGAUUAUUUUGCUGUUCUUGGAUGUUUCUUUUGUCACAGUGUCUCACUACAAGAUGUUUCCUUUAAGAUUUUGUAGCACUGACAUUUCCACCCACACCCCUCCCCUGCCCCUUUAGGGAGAGAUGAACCGAUACUGUGACAGAAUUUCUCAUCAACUGAUAAACACUUUACAGCUUCCUUCUACCUAGGUCAUUGAGAAAUUCUCUCCAAACUCUGAACAGCAGAUUUCUGGCUUCAUCUGUUGCUUCCUAAUCUUUUUUUUCCCUUUUGAAAGCUUUGUUUGCAGCCACCCUGUCACCUCAAUUCUCCUACAUCUCCUCUGCCUUUGGUUCUCGGCUUUAACUACAGCUCUGUUUAAAUAAGGGAUCAACAUCCUGUUUGUCAGCUGAUGCCUGUUAAAAAACGAUUCACUUUCUAAAAUCUUUGAAAAAUGGCGUGCCUGAAAAC
rnacentral:lncRNA from 1 species